AAAGGGCUUUAGCGUCAACUUGAGUGAACUUUGGCUUAAGCAACCCAGACAGGACUUUACUCAGAUAUUUAGAAAUAGAGGCAUCUGUUUAAUAAUCCUACCGAAACUUGGGGGCAAAUCUAUCACAUCACCUUCCUGUACUUUCGAGCUCGCCUAAAUGGAGCAAUCAGGAACCUGAGUGGCUGCUAGGAGAUCAGACUAUCCCCGCCAGUCAGGCAGCGGGUGCACAGAGCAAGAUGGACUCAAGGUGCCUGUGUGUGCUCAUUCGCGUCCAACUCUGAGACUUCAUGGGCGGUAGCCCGACAGGCUCCUCUGUCCAUGGGAUUUUCCAGGCGGAUUCUUUGUCACCGAGCCACCUGGGAAGCCCUGGACUUGAGGAAGCCAUCACUAAAAUGAGAGAGAAAAGCACUUAUUGACUAAGGAAGCAAAGAAAUAAAGCAGCUUGAAGAGCUAUGUUCAGAGAAGAACUUGGGAAUGGUGACUGGCUCAUGGAACUGACCGAAACCUUCUCAGUUUUACAAGCAUUGCCAAAAAAAAGAGAAGCCCCCUAGAGUCAAGUGUUGAAGGCAUAAAGCAACCCUUGGACCCCGUGUCUGCACCAGCAGGAAGCUGACUAUGAAAUCUGCUUAGCUCCAAAGAGGGCUUAACCCAAAACUCAAUCCAAAGUUUAGAUGUUAUGAGAAAGGAGAAUACAUAAAGAAGAAGCUCCCAGAGGACAAAGCCAACAGCCUUGAAGGAAAAUGGCCACAUCUUUUCCAUACUCUUUUACCACUUCCUGCCAGCUUGGCCAUUGCUCAUUCAUUUUCAUUGCCCGUAGUGUUUCGUUGUAAGAAUAUGCCAUAAUUUAUUUAUCCAUUCUAUCAUUGGUAGCUAUUUAGAUUGUCUCUUUUUUUUUGCUAUUAUGUUUGGAACAUUCUUUUACAUGUCUCUUGGUGCACAUGUGGACAGAUUUCUCUGGGGUACAUUCUUAGGCAUGCAACUGAUGAGUCAUAUAGUACUCAAUAGUGCCAAACUCUCUCAAAGUAGUUGUACAAUUAUACUCCCUCCCGCACUGCAUUUGUGUUCCCUUUGUUUCAUACGCUUGUCUAUAUUUGUUAGUUUAAGAUAUUUUUUAAAUUUCACUUAUUUAUUUAUUUGGCUGUGUUGAGUCUUAGUUGCAGCAAGCAAAGUCUCCCUUGCGUCAUGCAGGCGGGACUUGCCUUGCGGCCCUUGGGCUCUCUAGUUGUGGCAUGUGGGUUCAGUAGUUGUGGUGCAUGGACUUGGUUGUUCCAAGACAUGUGGGAUCUUAGUUCCCCACCAGGGAUCGAACCCAUGUCCCCUGCAUUGCAAGGCAGAUUCUUAAUCACUGGACCACCAGGGAAGUCUCAGUUACUUUCAGAUAUUUUAACUGAUCUGCUGAUCUGUUGGAUGUUCAGUGGUGUCUUACUGGGGCUUCAAUCACACUUGGGCCUUCAGCCUUACUCACAUGAGGUUGAAUAUUUUGGCAUACUGUUCAUUGGCCAUUUGGAUUUUCCCUUUGGUGUCCAUUAAAGGGGCACCAAAACUUUUCCAUAAAGCUGUUGGGUUGUCUAUCUCUUUCAUGUUAAUUGUUAAGAAUUCUUCUUUGUAACAAUCACUUACAUAAUGUUGCAAAUAUUUUCUCUCAUUUUAUGGCUUAUCUUUUCACUGUGUAUCUGGUCUUUUGGUGAAUAGAGGUACUUAAUUUUAAUGUGGUUGAGCUUAAGUGUUUUCCAUUCCUCAUUAUGUAUCCCUCUCUAUCUAUGGUUCCCAUUCAGAAUCUCUGAGAGAUGAUUUACCUCGUUGGCCAAACACAGCACAAAGCAGUGCGGCUGGAUGAUCCUCUCGUGUAAGACCAUCUCUUAGGUCCUGGGAAUCCAUGGAUGUCUGCUUGAGGGUCAGUGCCGAUCUCUGGCCCAUUUGCCGUCCCUAAGAUAGGAAGUACCAUUUAAAACAGUAAGUGAUGGGAACAGGAGGAAAUUAGACACAGGAUAAAUAUGCAAAUCAAGAAAUACUACUCACUGACAACAAAACUGUUAAUAAUAUACAUCUAGAAAUGAGAAAAUAAACAACAGAAAACAGAAAUUUUAUCAUUCUAUGGAAAUUUGUAUCUCAGUUAUUUGGUGAUUGGAUACAUAAUAAUAAUAAUCCAUCCUAAAAAUGUGGUUUGUAGAGAGCUUAUUGAUUAAAUUAUGUGACUCCAGAGUCCGUGGGGUCACUAAGAGUCAGACACAACUGAGCGACUUCACUUUCACUUUUUACUUUCAUGCAUUGGAGAAGGAAAUGGCAACCCACUCCAGUGUUCUUGCCUGGAGAAUCCCAGAGACAGGGGAGCCUGAUGGGCUCCCGUCUAUGGGGUCGCACAGAGUUGGACACAACUGAAGCAACAGCAGCAGCAGCAGGGUUAUAGCCAGGAAGUAAUAAGCUUAACCCUUCAUAUAAGUAUGUUGAAAUGAUAACUACAAUUACCUUCUAAAGGUAGAAGUCCAAAGUCUAGAAAAAUGAGAGUCAGUGAGUUCAGAUUCGCCUGUGUUCCUUCAGGAAAUCUCCAAGAGAGAACUUGACUGGAUGGACAUGAACAUUCCUGUCACCCCAGGACGCUUUGUUUCAAUUUUAGAAAAUAACUUACUCCUACCAAAAGUUCAGACAAGGAGGGGAGCUGAUGGGGACUUGUGUGGAGAAAACUGCUCUGUGGGCAAAAUCCAGACAGCCAGCAUAUCACGGGUUUAUCCAGCACACGAGCGUGUAUCGAAUGCCUGCCAUGUGACAGAUACUCUAGUGGACACAAAGUUGAAGACAGAGUCCCUGUAUCAGUUAGGACUCUUCCUGUUACAAGUCACCCCAAUUCAAUAAGCAUUUUUUGGGGGGGUUAUGCAAAUGAAAGUUGAGAGGUAGGGCAGGCUUUGGGGUUGAAUCAUUCAGUGGCUCCCAGGUCACCUCCACUCUAUGCAUGGGCCUCCCCUUCAAACUGUCUUCCCACAUUGUGACAAAUGACUCUUCUAGAUACCAGGACUUACGAAAGAGAGGACAGCUUUUAUGAAGGUUCACUUUUAAAAGCAUAGACCCAUUUUUUCCCAGAAUUACCUAGCAAAAUUCACCUUAUUUUCCAGUGGUGAGAUCAGGUCACAUGCUCCUUUCAAAACCAAUCCCCAUAUGGAAAGAAAUGUCAGGCACUGACUGGUUCUAAAACCCAGGCCUAAGCAGGAUAGGAUUACAACUAGGCAAUACAAGUCCCUCUCUUUAGCUAGAGGGUGGGGGGUCAUCUUUCCCCUAAGCUAAUGGACCAGAGAGUAAAUGCUUGGUUAAAAAUAGGGACGCAGUUAGGGAAUGGCAGAAAGGAUGCUGUGCCAUCUUUCUAUUACAGUCUCCACCUGCAAGGAGCUUACAUUUUGGGAAGACAGGAUUAUUAUCUACUCAUAAUGAAAAAUGAUAUGAGAGACACAAAGUGCAAUGGGAGACUAGAGGACACCAUUUAUCCUGAUAACACCUGAGGGAUCAGGGAGCUGGCUUUGCAGAGAUGCAUUUUCUAAGGAUGCUGAAGUAGAAAUUCAUGUAGGUGAAGGGUGUUGGAUCCAGAACGUAGGAAGGCAAAUGUGGUUUAGAGGAAGGAGGCAGGAAGUUAGUUAGAGUCAUAGUACAUUGAAACAAUCAAGUAAAAAUAUCUGGAGAAAAUUUGGGACCAGACAGGGAUGGAGAGGUUGUGUUGGAAGCCAUUAGUAUAAGAGAAAUGAUAGUAAGAGGUACAUUUUAGUGUGUGUGUGUGUGUGUAAGUCUCUGUUAUGUCCAACUCUUUGGACUGUAGCUUGCCAGUGGACUGUAGCUUGGCAGGUUCCUCUGUCCGUGGUAUUCUCCAGGCGAGAACAUUAGAGUGGGUUGCCAUUCCCUUCUCCAGGGGAUCUUCCCAACCCAGGGAUCGAACUUGGGUCUCCUGCAUUGCAGGCAGAUUCUUUACUGUCUGAGCCACCAGGGAGGCCCACAUAUAUAUUACAUAUACAUUUUAUUUUAUUAUAUAUUAUUUAUAUGUUAAAUAUUAUAUAUUUGUCAGACCGGUUCUAAACACUCUGUUGAUAUUCUUUCUUUUGAUUCUCACAAUCUAGUACAGAUGUUCUCGUCUUGAUUUUACUAAGAAGGCAACUGACAUUCAAAAGAGUAACUUACCAAGGCCAUCCAUGUGAUCAAUAGAUGAAUAGGAUUCAAAUCCAGAUAAUUCAGGGGUCUGGGUGCUGGAGCUAUGAAUAUAGAUGAGGUUAUUCAGAAAUGUGUUUCCAGUCCCCAUCUCCAAAUGCAGUGAUCCUCAAUUUAUCUGGAUCUGGAUUACUUUUUAGUAAUAUAUAUUUUCUAAAGUAUUUUGUUGUCAUUGCUUUCCCCACACCCCCAACAUUACCUUCUGACUACAAGCCGUUGAGCAAGCCAAAGCAAUAAGAAAAAGUGUGAGUAUCAUAUUAUAUAACAACAAGUUUCAAGGUAGGGCAGCUCCAGGAUUGAUUAGUUCAGCAACUCCAUCUUAUCAAGAACCUUGGUUAUUUCCAUUCAUUGUGUAUCUAAAGCACGUCAGUUGGGUUCUUAAGCUAACUCAUCUGAAAGAUGAAAGGCUACAUUUCAGAGUUUAAGAUCUAGAGGUGGUAAUACAUCUAGACCUGCCAACACCCAAGGGGAAAAGUCAGGCCCUCUCUUCUGGUGUGUCCAUUUUUAGUCAUGAAGAAACUUCUCCCCAAAGUCACCUGUCAAAUUCGUCCUCACGUCGUGCCCAGAACUGUUUCACACACCCAUUCCUAACCAAUCACUAGUGAAAUCACUAGCAAAGAGAACAGGGUUACCUAACUGGCUUAAUGAAGUACACGACCCCAUUUGUGACAGUGGAUUAACAUAAAUAAAUAAAUUAAGUGUGAGGGCUCCCUUAGAAAGGAGAAAGCAGAGGGUGGAGGAUGGGACAGGGGUUAGAGGUAGGAAGACGAAGAUGGUAAGAAGGACCUUGAAUAGCCAAUCAACAUGUCUGCUACGUCUCCAUCUGUAAUACAGCAUGCAUUCUCAAUAGCAAGGAUAUCCUCCCAAGAGAGUAAAAUAUUGAUUGGGGUGGGACUUUAUUCCUUUUCUGUGUAAAACACAAGUAUGCAUAUAGUACAUAAACACAUGAAUAUACAGUGUAUCUUCUAUGCUAUUAAUGGACUUCCCUGGUGGUUCAGACUGCAAUGCAGGAGACCUGGGUUCGAUCCCUGAGUCUGAGAGAUGCCCUGGAGAAGGAAAGGGCUCCCCACUCCAGUAUUCUUGCCUGGAGAAUUCCAUGGAGAGAGGAGCCUGGCGGGCUUCUGUCCAGGGGGUCGUAAAGAGUCGGACACGACUGAGCAACUAACGCAUGCUAUUAAUUUUUCAUAGUGGGAGUAGAUUCCAAAAAGGCUCCUGUGGAGCGGGAGUAGGGUGGUAAUAGUGGGGAAAAAAAGGGACAGACACUGAGAUAUAUCACUGUGUCAUUAUUCAGAAUUGGAGGCUCCACUCAAGAGGGAAGGGAUAUAUGUAUACAUACAGCUGAUUCACUUUGAUGUACAGCAGACACUAAGACGGCAUUGUAAAGCAAUUAUACUCCGAUAAUAAAAUAAAAUUAAUUAUAAAAAAGUAAUUAGAGGCUCCUUGAGAAAAAGUUGCGCUGAAAUCCUUCUGUGCGGCAGAAGGCAGUGAUACUUUGAUACUCUGUAACCUCUCAGGGCCUUCAUCUCUCUCUGGCCCAGGUCUACAAAUACAACAGCCACUGUUCAGGGAAUCUUUUAUUUAUGUCAUUCGCUCUGCUGAGCACUUGACACACGUAUCAACUUGUUAAAUCUUCAUAACAAUCUAGCAAAACGAAUGCUAUUGUUAUUCUCAUGUGACAGAUGAGGAACCUGAGACACGGGAAGAUUAAAUAAUUUUCAUGAGAAAGCGGUUGAAUGGGGAUUAGGAAAAAAACUAUUCAGUAUUGAAAAUAACAAAAAGGAAAAUUUCCACAGUAGCACAGGACUGUAAAGAUGUAAGCUGAAACCACACAACGCAAUUUUAAUAACAAUGAAAAAUUAUAAUUAUUUUGUGACCUUUAAACAUUUUUGUCAAAACUUUAAAAUUUCUCUUACUGUCAGUUGUAAAUAUAUAGGGAGAUGAAAAAAAAGAAAAAAGAAAACUAAUAUUUAUUUAGUACAUUGUAAUUUAAAACAUUAAAAACAAUAUUGUAAAGUAAUUAGCCUCCAAUUAAAAUAAAUACAUUUAUAAUAAAAUAAAAAAAUAAAACAUUAAAAACGAAAGUGCUUAUUUGUUUGUAAGAAGCAGAUACAGAAUAGUUUGAACGGUGCUUGCCUUCACGUCGCACAGAGGCUGAGCACCUUUUCUCUGCCUUGGUGAACUGUCAUGCUCUUUCUAAGGGUAGAUCAGCUUCCAGCACUUGGUCCUUUGAGCUUCCCACAUUGCGAAACUCUUCCAAGAGUACCUUCAAUGUGAGGAUUUUUCCCAGAGUCAGUUCCUCUGGAGUAUCAUCAUCUUUUCAUCACAGCCACUGUUUUUCCUACUUUGCCUUCAUUGAAUCCUCUGAUUGCAUCCACAGUCUUGAAUGGCGGCAAGGCUGACCUCCCCAUGGUUGGCUAUUUAUCUACAAGUUCACCUGUAUUCAGUGUUAUCACACUUCAUUUCUUUAGUGCAUUGUCAUUUCUAUUGGCUGAUUCCCUCUUUCGAUUAUCUAUCUUUGCAAAAUGCCACGUAGGUUUAUUGCUAGGAGAUAAGGGGGCAACUCAGCACAAGCUUUCUGUCUGUGUGUAAACCUUAAUCGAUGGGCAGUGACAAACAGCAGAGACAGAAUGUGAAAGAACUGGUGUGGUAAGUCACUGAUGAUAGGCACAUCUGUGUUUAUGCAGUGAUUUGUGCACCAAAGUGUGUACUUUGUGUAACAACUUCCUUAAUAUCCUGUGGCAACUGAAAGUUGAGUUGUGUUGUGAGGAGAUUGGUGUUACCUAACUAAACCAUGGUAACUACAAUCCAUGCAUAUCAGAACCAUGCAAAGUGAGGACUUCCUGUAUACAUAAGGUAGGCAGAUGUAUCCACGUGUCCAUGGAUACCCAGGUCUCCCCAUGUAGCCAUCACCCAGUUUCAGCCAAUAUCAACUCAUGGCCAAUCUUGCUUCAUAGCAGCCUCACUGACUCUCCCCUUCCUGCACUAUUUUGAAGCAAAUCCCAGACAUCUCACCAUUUCAUACAUAAAUAUCUAUUUGUAAUUGAGAAUGGGGUCUUGAACCCAGUUCUGUCAAAUUUCAGAGACUGAACUCUUAACAAUUACACUCUAUUGCUUCCUGGAGAAGGUAGUAGACCCAGAAAAGUGGAAUGGCGUAUUGACAGUAUUUGGGUUUUUUCAUCUUGACAACAUCCUUUUUCACCCUGUGAAGUAUUAUUGUCUUGAUUUUUUCUGAUGAGGAAACGGAGGCCCAGAGGAGCAGCGUAACCUGCCCAAGAUCACACAGAGAAUGAGGAACCGAAUCAGGCUUUAAGUUCAGAUUUUCUGAUUCCAUAUCCCAUUCUCUUUCCCGUACAUCACAAGUGCCCUUCAAGAUGGUUUUUAAACUUUAAUCGUUGAACUUCUCCUGUGCCUAACCUCUUGUGCCACUUUGCUCCCAGCCAAGGCCAAGAACUUCAGAAACCACAUAUUGCUCCCUUCUCUCUGUACCUCCAGUCUUCUUUUUUUUUUUAAUUUUCUUGGCAGCACUGCAUAGCGUGUGGGAUCUUAGUUCCCUCACCAGGGAUGAAGCCUGCACUGUUGCAGUGGAAGCAACAAGUCUUAACUACUGGAUCACCAGGGAAGUCCCCAUACCUCCGAUCUUCCUGGAAUAUGCUUUCAAUGGCAAAAUGAAAAGACAAACAAGGGGGGUUCCUCAGUGGUUCAGUGGUAAAGAAUCCACCUGCCAGUUCAGGAGACACAGGAGGAUCCCACAUGGCUCGGAGCAACUAAGCCCGUGUGCCACGACUACUGAGCCUGUGCUCUAGAGUUGCAGGAAGGGAAACCUCUUCCAGGGCCCCAAACUGGGCUCUUGUCUAACACUUGGAAAUGAAUUGUCCGAGGAGACACAUGUGCUGACAAAGCAAGAGAUUUUAUUGAAAAGGGCACCCGGGUGGAGAGCAGUAGGGUAAGGGAACCCAGGAGAACAGUUCCGCCACAUGGCUCACAGUUUUAUGGUGUUUGGGAUUAGUUUCUGGGUUGUCUUUAGCCCAUCAUUCUGACUCACAGUCCAUCCUGGUGGUGCAUGCCUUGUUCAGCCAAGAUGGAUGCCAGCGAGAAGGAUUCUGGGAGGUGUUGGACAUGUGGUGUCUCUGUUUGACCUUUCCCAAAUUCUUCCAGUGGGUGGUGGCUUAUUGGUUCGGUGUUCCUUACCAGGACUUCCUGUCGUAAAACUUCCUGUCAAAUGGUUACUAUGGUGCCUGGUCAGGGUGGAUGGUUUCAGUCAGUGUGCUUCCCCUAACACUAGGGCCCAGGAGCCACAGCUACUGAGCCCAUGUGCCAUAACUACGGAAGGCCUCGCCCUAGAGUCCAUGCCCCACAACAAGAGGAGCCACCGCAAAGAGAAGCCCGUGUACCAGGACUAGCGAGUCGCCCCCAUUCACCACAGCUAAGAAAGCCCGCGCACAGCAAGGAAACCCAGCACAGCCAAAACCAGUAAAUAAAUAAAAUUAUAUAAAGAAAGAAAAUAAAGAAAGGGAAGUCGCUCAGUCUCGUCCGACUCUUUGCGACCCCAUGGACUGUAGCCUUCCAGGCUCCUCAGUCCAUGGAAUUUUCCAGGCAAGAGUACUGGAGUGGGUUGCCAUUUCCUUCUCCAGGGGAUCUUCCUGACACAGGGGUUGAACCCGGGUCUCCUGCAUCACAGGCAGAUGCUUUACUGUCUGAGCCACCAGGGAAGCCUAAAAUUAUAUAAAAACAACAACACACAAGGACCCAGCACAAACCCCCAGGCAGGUGUAGUCGUCCCCCACACCCCCACUCCAGCCCCGAUCCCCACUGGCACUGAAUCCAUUGCCAGGGCCACACUUGCUAUGGGCCCAGGACCCUGGUCUGUCAACCACCUCCUCCUCCGCAGGUAUCUUCUUUGCUUCAGACUCCAAGAAAAGUCCCAUGGAGCAGGUUACUGGACUGAAACCAGCUAUGCCCCCACCUAUUGGCCUCACUGGGGCCUGAGUUUAAACCACUCUACUUCCUGCUAUAACCCCUCAGCUCUGGAUGGUAGCGUUCCUCCCGCUGAGCCUCCAGCAAAGGCAGGAACUACUGGAGUUCUCUAAAAAAUGUGGAAGCAGCAGAGAAGAGAAAAAAGAGAAGGGGAGGGAGAAGAGGAAAGAGAGAAGACGCCCUACCUGGCAGUUGAAUGGCACCUCCCUGAACCCUGCCACCAGUUCUAAUGGGACGUGCUGUGUUCAGCUCCUAAGUGCUGAGAGAACAGGCCUGAUCAUAGCCUCGGGGUCUAGCUUUCUUUUUUACUACAGCUUUCUGAUCUCCCUGUGAACCUUCCUUCUAUUCUAGAUGGCAAGCAUCUUUUCUCUCCUGCUCCUGGAGAGAGUCAAGCAGGGCAGGGUCCUUUCAACCCCUUUCAGCUUCAGUUCCCCAACAGCCUCAGAACUGACUUUGGGUGUGGCUUGGACUAGGAUAUUUAAGGAAGGAAGUAGGAGGUUCCAAGAACAGAGGGACUGAGAGUUGCCAGAAGGAAGAAGUGGAUGGUUCAGUUUAAUGUUAGUACAAGGCACUGUCCCGUUAUACACAGCAUCCUAUUGAUAGAAAUGGACAGUUGCUAUUUUGUCUGCUCAGAUUCAGCUCUGUCCCCAUCCCCACCACCCAAAUCCUUAUUUUUGGUGACAAUAUUUACAAAAUACCCUUUGCUCAAGGGAAUUUCCUCUCUCCACUCUACCAGAAUGUUCUGGUGGGACUGUCCUUCACAAAACCCAUAUCCCCUCCCUGGGGUAGGCUUGCAGCUCAGAUCUGGCCAAUCAGAGACUUCCUUGGACUUGUCUAUGCUGAUGAGGGAAAGAGAAGUCCUUUUCUCCUGUGGAUUGCUAAGCAGAAAUGAAAUAAACUAUUGACGAGCAUUACUACCACUUGUAUGGAGGAAGCGUGUUUGUAGGAAAACAUGAGAACAAUUACAGAAAGAAGCAGAAUUGAAUGUGUGUAUGAAAUAGAGAGAAAUUGAGAUAUGUAUCUCCAUUUCUACAUGUCCAGCUCUCCACCCAUCCUUCUGUUUAUGAAAGAGAGACUUGAAAGUCACAUAGUCUUUGGAUUAAGACAUAAUGUAAACUAAUAAUACCACUAUGUAUCAACAUUUUGUUUUGUAUUUUUGUUUUGUUUUUGUUUGCUUGUUUGUUUUUUUGAUGUAAGCUUUAAUUG
ensembl:lncRNA